rnacentral:rRNA from 1 species
CCUACGGGAGGCAGCAGUAGGGAAUCUUCCACAAUGGACGAAAGUCUGAUGGAGCAACGCCGCGUGAGUGAAGAAGGGUUUCGGCUCGUAAAGCUCUGUUGGUAGGGAAGAAAGAUAGAGGUAGUAACUGGCCUUUAUUUGACGGUAAUUACUUAGAAAGUCACGGCUAACUACGUGCCAGCAGCCGCGGUAAUACGUAGGUGGCAAGCGUUGUCCGGAUUUAUUGGGCGUAAAGCGAGGACAGGCGGUACAGUAAGUCUGAUGUGAAAGCCUUCGGCUCAACCGGAGAAUUGCAUCAGAAACUGGUGGACUUGAGUGCAGAAGAGGAGAGUGGAACUCCAGGUGUAGCGGUGGAAUGCGUAGAUAUAUGGAAGAACACCAGUGGCGAAGGCAGCUCUCUGGUCUGCAACUGACGCUGAGGCUCGAAAGCAUGGGUAGCGAACAGGAUUAGAUACCCUUGUAGUC